rnacentral:rRNA from 1 species
CCUACGGGAGGCAGCAGUGGGGAAUAUUGGACAAUGGGCGAAAGUCUGAUCCAGCCAUGCCGCGUGUGUGAAGAAGGCCUUCGGGUUGUAAAGCACUUUCAGUGGGGAAGAAAGCCUUGGGGCUAAUACCCUCGAGGAAGGACAUCACCCACAGAAGAAGCACCGGCUAACUCCGUGCCAGCAGCCGCGGUAAUACGGAGGGUGCGAGCGUUAAUCGGAAUUACUGGGCGUAAAGCGCGCGUAGGCGGUCUGAUAAGCCGGUUGUGAAAGCCCCGGGCUCAACCUGGGAACGGCAUCCGGAACUGGCAGGCUAGAGUGCAGUAGAGGAAGGUAGAAUUCCCGGUGUAGCGGUGAAAUGCGUAGAGAUCGGGAGGAAUACCAGUGGCGAAGGCGGCCCUCUGGACUGACACUGACGCUGAGGUGCGAAAGCGUGGGUAGCAAACAGGAUUAGAUACCCGGGUAGUC